UGGCGGACAUGUUAGGGAAGCCGGCUUUUCCAGUAGUUUUCUUGUCACUUUUUGUGCAUUGUAUAAAUGCAGCAAGUAAAGAUGCAUUCUAUGAAGAACUAUUUAUUAAAUCUUUGGAGAAAGGAAAUGUAUUGAAUCACUUCCAAUUCACAACAAUUUGGAAUUCGUCUAUUUCCGAUGAAGAAACAUUUCAACACUACAAUUUAUUUCCAAAGGCUUUAGGAGAUGUAUUGAAUAGAUAUAAAGUUCAAGAGCUGCACCUGUCUCAAACACAGGGGGUGUGGAAACAUGAGCAUUGGGGUUACCCUCCAGAAGAUGCCCCACCUGGGGUGGAACUAUGGGUGUGGUUUCAACCGAAUUAUGGACUCAUUGAUCAAUUAUGGGCAGAAUUAGUGAACGCUUUGUCGGGUUUAUUCUGUGCGUCCUUAAACUUCAUGGACUCGAAGGCCACGGUCAUACCACGCUGGAGCUUCAGACCUAUGGGUCUUGCAUCAGAGUAUUACAGUUUUGACUCGAGAUUCAUGCGGUACUCGGCACUUCCUAAAGAAAUUGUCUGUACAGAAAAUCUUACACCUUGGGAAAAACUGCUACCUUGUGAAUCUCAGGCUGGUUAAGCUACUUUGUUUAAUGCCGUGAGAUUGUAUGAUGCCAGUUAUCACUCUCUAGGCCUGCAUGUCAGACCUGUAUGUCAGGACAAAGAGUGCACACUGGCUGGUAUAGAAUUAAAGCAAACCCUAACAGUUGUAUUCAACCCCACAUCAUCAAAUAGAGGGAAACUGAAUGGAUACCAAAAUUGGAGUAUAAAGUCAAUGUUUGGUAGGAGCAUACAUGAAGCGUGUCCCAUGUCUAGUUUUAGUAAAGUUUACGUUGACAAUACUUUACAUAAAGAGAUGUUAUUACAUCCCGAACCAGACCAAGUUGUUAACUUCACGAGGGGAGGAGAAAAACGUAUGUACAAUGUGUGGGACGUAAAGAAACAUACCAAGUCGGGAAAGAUAUUCAACUUGCAAGGGUCGUACAAUGCUAAAGUGAAAUAUGGGGAGAUAACUCCGCCACCACUGUACGCACAGAGAUUUGUAACAGGUUACGGUUUAGAAAAAGGUGGUAUUACAACCAUCCUACAUAACACAUUGGACACAGAUCUCACCGUGAUCUACAUGGAAACAAUACCGUGGUAUCUACGUGUCUACUUCAGCUCUAUACAACUAGAGGCUAACAAACAACCAGUAAAACCUUGUAAGUGUUUCUAAAAUAUAGUUUUAGAUA